rnacentral:lncRNA from 11 species
AGCAGCAGAGACCUUGGCAAGGGAUGUGGAUUGCAAAGCAAGACUGAUUUGCAACCCAGUCUGGAAUCACCAAGUUGACCUAAACGAGUUCAAAUCUGCAGGACCAGACAAACUACAUCUCCAAGCACUGUAGGAACUAGCUGAUGUAUUCAUUGAGCCACUUGCUGUCAUUUGAGAAAUCUUGAAGAACAGAUUCUCAGUGUCUUUCUCCAAUUUCCUGUUGUGGAACAUCUUCAGGAUUACAUCAGUCCUACUGCCAACAACUUUGAUGAACUGAAGUGGGAAAGGAGAAGAUAUUCUCAAAAAUACAACAAUGAAUGGGGUCAAAAUGGUUUAACCUUUAACUGAUGCAAUGCAACUGCUGAUGAGUAACAGUUUCUGG